GUCCCCGCUCGCUUCCUGUCCUGCGGGCGGGGGCGGAAUGGGAGGCUCCAGCUGUGUGUUUAGGCAGGUAGGGCCCGGGAGGGAACUGAAGAGAGGGGGCUAAGCCGCCUACGAGGGAGGACCUUGAACCUCAAGUUCCCGCUGCAGCACGUGAGCUGUGGCGAGCUGCCAGGGCCGGCGCUGGCGCAUCCCUGGGAACCAUCCUUGGGAGCCCAGACUGUCCGAUUCCAGGCAGCCCCUGAGCACCCGUCAAUCAUCGCUCCCCCAUCUCAGAAGGCAGAAAGAGGCACAGACCCAUCAGAUAUCUGGAAAGAGAUGUCAGACAUCCGAGGUCUCUCCCAGUUCACUGCUGAAUACACGUGUGAGCCUGACGGAGCCUCCACAAAUGUGAUUCUCGUUUUUCCCCCGUUUUUAAAAACGAGAGGUUUGGACUCCCCCAGUCGCCUCUUAAGAUUCUGGUUCUUAUCUCAACACCGAAAGGAGCAUUGAGAUAGGAGUGGAGCACCUGUUAUGAUGAGCCCAGCAGCACAAGGGUAACCAGGAGAGUUCCCGUCCAGAAGUUACUGAUACGGCAGGAAGGAGCUGAUGGUGGAGAGGAGGAACAGAGAAGAGUGCGGGCUGCAGGACGCAGAUACACACACACACACACAGACACACAGACACACAGACACACACACACACACAGGAAGGAGCUGAUGGUGGAGAGGAGGAACAGAGAAGAGUGCGGGCUGCAGGACGCAGACACACACACACACACACAGACACACACACACACACACAGGAAGGAGCUGAUGGUGGAGAGGAGGAACAGAGAAGAGUGCAGGCUGCAGGACGCAGACACACACACACACACACACACACACACAC